UACGGGGGGAGCAAGCGUUGUUCGGAUUUACUGGGCGUAAAGGGCGCGUAGGCGGUCGUGACAAGUCACUUGUGAAAUCUCCGGGCUUAACUCGGAACGGUCAAGUGAUACUGUCGGACUAGAGUACAGAAGGGGCAACUGGAAUUCUCGGUGUAGCGGUGAAAUGCGCAGAUAUCAGGAGGAACACCGGUGGCGAAGGCGGGUCUCUGGGCCGAUACUGACGCUGAGGAGCGAAAGCAUGGGGAGCGAACAGG
rnacentral:rRNA from 1 species